UAUGGUGACUAUGGCGAGUGUGUCCACCUCUUCCCAUUCCGAACAGAGAAGUUAAGCCACUCAGCGCAGAUGAUACUGGAGUAAAAUCUGGGAAAGUAUGUCGUCGCCGGGA
rnacentral:rRNA from 1 species